UACAGAGGGUGCAAGCGUUAAUCGGAAUUACUGGGCGUAAAGCGCGUGUAGGUGGUUUGUUAAGUUGGAUGUGAAAGCCCCGGGCUCAACCUGGGAACUGCAUUCAAAACUGACAAGCUAGAGUAUGGUAGAGGGGGGGGGAAUUUCCUGUGUAGCGGUGAAAUGCGUAGAUAUCUGGAGGAACACCGGUGGCGAAGGCGGCAUCCUGGACCGGCAUUGACGCUGAGGCGCGAAAGCCAGGGGAGCAAACGGG
rnacentral:rRNA from 1 species